GCCGCAAGGUUAAAACUCAAAUGAAUUGACGGGGGCCCGCACAAGCGGUGGAGCAUGUGGUUUAAUUCGAUGCAACGCGAAGAACCUUACCUGGUCUUGACAUCCACAGAACUUUCCAGAGAUGGAUUGGUGCCUUCGGGAACUGUGAGACAGGUGCUGCAUGGCUGUCGUCAGCUCGUGUUGUGAAAUGUUGGGUUAAGUCCCGCAACGAGCGCAACCCUUAUCCUUUGUUGCCAGCGGUUAGGCCGGGAACUCAAAGGAGACUGCCAGUGAUAAACUGGAGGAAGGUGGGGAUGACGUCAAGUCAUCAUGGCCCUUACGACCAGGGCUACACACGUGCUACAAUGGCGCAUACAAAGAGAAGCGACCUCGCGAGAGCAAGCGGACCUCAUAAAGUGCGUCGUAGUCCGGAUUGGAGUCUGCAACUCGACUCCAUGAAGUCGGAAUCGCUAGUAAUCGUGGAUCAGAAUGCCACGGUGAAUACGUUCCCGGGCCUUGUACACACCGCCCGUCACACCAUGGGAGUGGGUUGCAAAAGAAGUAGGUAGCUUAACCUUCGGGAGGGCGCUUACCACUUUGUGAUUCAUGACUGGGGUGAAGUCGUAACAAGGUAACCGUAGGGGAACCUGCGGUUGGAUCACCUCCUUA
rnacentral:rRNA from 1 species